UGAGGAAUGGCUCAACAGUCGAGUGCUUGCCUGACAAGCAAGAGGCCUGGAGUUCAAACCCAAUAUCAUAA
rnacentral:tRNA from 1 species